rnacentral:sRNA from 2 species
UACCUAACUCUGCCGCUUGCCCGGGGUCCCUUUUGCACUACGACGGCAGGGGCGGGGGAACCAAUUUUUUGGGUCCUUUGAAUCCUUGGGGUUAAGCCGACCGGAUGAGACCGGCGGCCGGGUGACUCCCAUCCGAACCCGACAGCUCACCUCGCAGGUAUAGGGAGAGGUAAU